GCUUUGGCGUGGCAGCGGUCCAAGUUCCUUGGAACAGGACGUCACAGAGGGUGAGAAUCCCGUACGUGGUCGCUAACCUUCGCCGUGUAAAGCCCCUUCGACGAGUCGAGUUGUUUGGGAAUGCAGCUCUAAAUGGGAGGUAAAUUUCUUCUAAAGCUAAAUACUGGCCAGAGACCGAUAGCGCACAAGUAGAGUGAUCGAAAGAUGAAAAGCACUUUGGAAAGAGAGUCAAAUAGCACGUGAAAUUGUUGAAAGGGAAGCGCUUGCAGCCAGACUUGCCUGUAGUUGCUCACCCGGACUCUUGUCCGGUGCACUCUUCUAUAGGCAGGCCAGCAUCAGUUUGGGCGGUUGGAUAAAGGUCUCUGUCAUGUACCUCCUCUCGGGGAGGCCUUAUAGGGGAGACGACAUGCAACCAGCCUGGACUGAGGUCCGCGCAUUUAUGCUAGGAUGCUGGCGUAAUGGCUGUAAGCGGCCCGUCUUGAAACACGGACCAAGGAGUCUAACAUCUAUGCGAGUGUUUGGGUGUCAAGCCCGAACGCGUAAUGAAAGUGAACGGAGGUGGGAACCCUUAAGGGUGCACCAUCGACCGAUCCUGAUGUCUUCGGAUGGAUUUGAGUAAGAGCAUGGCUGUUGGGACCCGAAAGAUGGUGAACUAUGCUUGAAUAGGGUGAAGCCAGAGGAAACUCUGGUGGAGGCUCGCAGCGGUUCUGACGUGCAAAUCGAUCGUCAAAUUUGGGCAUAGGGGCGAAAGACUAAUCGAACUAUCUAGUAGCUGGUUCCUGCCGAAGUUUCCCUCAGGAUAGCAGUAACGUAUUCAGUUUUAUGAGGUAAAGCGAAUGAUUAGAGGCCUGGGGGUUGAAACAACCUUCACCUAUUCUCAAACUUUAAAUAUGUAAGAAGUCCUUGUUACUUAAUUGAACGUGGACACUGAAGUA
rnacentral:rRNA from 1 species